rnacentral:misc_RNA from 1 species
GAUGAAGAACGUAGCGAAAUGCGAUAAGUAAUGCGAAUUGCAGAAUUUCCGUGAGUCAUCGAAUCUUUGAACGCACAUUGCGCCCACUGGUAUUCCGGUGGGCAUGCCUGUUCGAGCGACAUUAUCCUCCCUCAAACCCCGGGUUUGGUGUUGGACCCAAGUUGUGUGAACAACUGGUCUCAAAGACAAUGACGGCGUCCGUGGGACCCUCGGUGCAACGAGCUUUUAGGAGCACGCAUCGAGUUGCAAGGACCUUCCGGGCCGGUCUCCUUUACCAUUUUACAAGGUUGACCUCGGAUCAGGUAGGAAUACCCGCUGAACUUAAGCAUAUCAAUAAGCGGAGGA